rnacentral:RNase_MRP_RNA from 1 species
ACGCAGCGCGAAGGGCCACCUCAGCAAACCCUCGCUUCUCGCGCCUCACCAAUGCCAAACUGCUGGGCGAAAGUCCCCGGGCACCCAGGCAGAAAGUGCCAACCCGAAAGGGUAGGACCCCCGCUCGCCCCUGCCGUCCGCCUUGGCGGCGGCAGCGUCGGCGGCGGGGCAGCUCGCCAUAACCACAGUUAUGUGGCCGGCCGCGGCUGUUGCCUUCGGGCGGCAGCCGUGCGUCAACACAACGGGGCUUACUCUCGCGCUGACG